rnacentral:rRNA from 1 species
UGGCGGACGGGUGAGUAAUGUCUGGGAAACUGCCUGAUGGAGGGGGAUAACUACUGGAAACGGUAGCUAAUACCGUAUAACGUCGCAAGACCAAAGAGGGGGACCUUCGGGCCUCUUGCCAUCGGAUGUGCCCAGAUGGGAUUAGCUAGUAGGUGGGGUAAAGGCUCACCUAGGCGACGAUCCCUAGCUGGUCUGAGAGGAUGACCAGCCGCACUGGAACUGAGACACGGUCCAGACUCCUACGGGAGGCAGCAUG